AUGCCAUUCAAUAAUCCCAGAGGACACACAGUAUGUCAACGUCACACCACUGCAAACAAAAAUGCCAUUCAAUAAUCCCAGAGGACACACAGUAUGUCAACGUCACACCACUGCAAACAAAAUGAAGUUAAGCUGGUGGUCAUCGUCGAUCAAUUUGACCCAAGUUCCAUUUCGGUCCAUGGCUCCAGACAUGUUGCAGUCGUUCCCAGACUGGGGGAGGGCCCAGUUCUUGUAGUGGACCGUCUCGUCAC